UUUUUUUUUUUUUUUUUUUUUUUUUUAGUUUUUCGAGAUAGGGUUUCUCUGUAUAGCCUUGGCUGUCCUGGAACUCACUCUGUAGACCAGGCUGGCCUUGAACUCAGAAAUCCGCCUGCCUCUGCCUCUCAAGUGCUGGGAUUAAAGGCGUGAGCCACCACCGCCCAGCUUAAAUUCUUGUCUGAUACUGUACUAGAUGGUCAGGUUUUGAUCCUGGCGAUCUGCCCACUGUAUGCCUACUUUUUAAAAGUAGGGUUUUAACAGCUUUAAAACCGAAGGUUUGGAGUUAUCACUCAGAGGUCAGCCCUUACCUAACACGAAGGGCCCUGGGCUCAAUCCCUAGCGUACAAUGAGAGUAUUUUACCAGUGGGUCCUUAAGGCAAACACAUAUUUGGGAUUUACUCUCGGGCAUCCUGGGUUUCUGAGCUCUUUUGCCAGGCUCAGUGACCUAGAUGGCAGCAGUGUUCCCCGGAUACACAUCCUAGACCUUGCUCCCUCGCCCCUUGCUCCUACGUGGAAAAGAUUCCCUGUCUCGUAGAUACCUCUCAUGAAUUCUAGGUUAUUAUGCUUGCAGUUCCCGUGGUGAGUGUAGCCCACCAUGGCCCAGCUCUCAGCAAUCAGGAUGCAUUGUAAAACUUUGAGCUAGCAUGAGCGGCGUGUUAAUUCAUUAAUUUUCCUCGUGUCAUCAUUAAGAAUCCUCCUCUUCCACUCUUAGAAAUUAAAUAUGGAGGAGGUACAGUAAUUACACCUGCCCUCCCCCAUUAUUUAUAGAAAUUGCUUUCAAUCUAUAUACAUGAUCUUUGUGUUUGCCAUUAGAGCCCAGGUGGGUUUUUUUUUUUUAUUCUGAGGUCCUUUUAGGGAAACCCAGGCAAAAUAUCAGCUUGCCUGUGGCUUGAUGGCUUCUGUUCCUACCUUCAGUUGUCACACCAGAGAACCUAGAAGCUUCCAUCAGACUCCACCCCUGACCUCGAAACCCCAGGGCAGAGAAAAGACCAAGUCUUCUGCUUGAGAAACUUCCCAUGAGCCUCUGCAGGAGGGAGGGGAUCAUUGCUUAGUCAUGCACAUGGGAGCUCUCAGGUUCUGAGGCACUAAUUCUGGGAACCGGCACAGAGCUAAUCAUUAUAGAAGUAGCUCGGAUUCCCCCGAGGGUCCAGUCUCCGGGGAAAGUGUUGCUGGUCUAGAGAAGCCGUGAGCCCGUAGGAACAUCCCAAAAGAAGUUCUCGACUUGGUGUCUGGGUUUCAAAUACCAAUCUGCUCUUGGCAAGCCUUGGCUUCACUCCGUCUUUGUUUUUAUAAAUGCAGGCUAGCUCAUUCUAACUCUGAACACUUCUGCCAGUAAAACAAUACAUCCAAAUACAAUAACACUGGUCACGAUCUCAGUCCAGAGAUUCAAGGAUAAUCAGAAUAUUUAUUUCUGUCAGCCUCCCUUACCCACACCUCUGUCUGACCUUUACAUUUAGCAGGGAAAUUCAGAGGCGAGGCGGGGGAAAUAUAUUGAAAGCAAUAGAGGGUGGAAUUUGAAGCCAUGGAUGUCACUCUUGUCUUCCUGAAAUGGUUUUCUGCAUGUCCAGGCAGAUAGCAUACCCCUGUAAUCCUAGCACAUAGGAGGUGGGGGCAGAAGGAUCGGGAGUUCAAGCCCAGCCUAAGCUAUAUAAGACCAUCUCC
rnacentral:lncRNA from 1 species